rnacentral:rRNA from 1 species
CCUACGGGAGGCAGCAGUGAGGAAUAUUGGUCAAUGGGCGCGAGCCUGAACCAGCCAAGUCGCGUGAGGGAAGACGGUCCUAUGGAUUGUAAACCUCUUUUGUCGGGGAGCAAAAGACGCCACGCGUGGCGUUCCGAGAGUACCCGAAGAAAAAGCAUCGGCUAACUCCGUGCCAGCAGCCGCGGUAAUACGGAGGAUGCGAGCGUUAUCGGGAUUUAUUGGUGUUAAAGGGUGGGCAGGGGGAAGUUCAAGUCAGCGGGAAAAUUGAGAGGCUCAACCUAGUCGAGCCGUUGAAACUGGUAUGCUUGAGUGAGUGAGAGGUAUGCGGAAUUCGUGGUGGAGCGGUGAAAUGCAUAGAUAUCACGAAGAACUCCGAUGGCGAAGGCAGCAAACCGGCGCUCAACUGACGCUCAGGCACGAAAGUGUGGGUAUCGAACAGGAUUAGAUACCCUUGUAGUC